UGCAUUCAACAUUCAUGCAUUGAAAAAUCGCAAGUUUUAUAAUGGAAAAUUUUACGCCGCAGUUUCAUACGUGCUGAAGUGUUAAGACAAUUGAUUAUCUUUUUAUAGAUGCUUGUUACCAAGUGUUCUAGCUAAUUUCAACGAAGGCGAUACCUAGAACAUGCAUGUCUUGUCAAAGGACGCAGCACUGACACCUUGGAGUGAAGAUUCCCUCGAGAUACAGAUAAAUGAACUUAUUUGUAAUUUGUAAUUUAUUCAAGAGAAAGUUAUCUGUAAAACUGAAAUAUAUUUAUGUAGCUUUAAA